rnacentral:lncRNA from 1 species
AUGGUAAUAUUUUAUUACUUUUUAAUUACUUUAAUUACUUUUUUUUCUUCACAUUCCACACAGUGUUCUACUGCAUUUUCCCCAAAUGCAGUAUUACUACAGUACUACUACAGUAUUACUACAGUACUACUACUAUUGCGCUUCAUUUUUUUCUACACUAAGAGGGUGUUUCUGGCUCCUUCUUGCUCCUCCCAUCUCUGCUUCAGCCUCCACUUACCACUCAUUCAGUAUCCCUCUGCUUCAGCCUCCACUCACCACUCAUUCAGUAUCCCUCUGCUUCAGCCUCCACUCACCACUCAUUCAGUAUCCCUCUGCUUCGGCCUCCACUCACCACUCAUUCAGUAUCCCUCUGCUUCAGCCUCCACUCACCACUCAUUCAGUAUCCCUCUGCUUCAGCCUCCACUCACCACUCAUUCAGUAUCCCUCUACUUCGGCCUCCACUUACCACUCAUUCAGUAUCCCUCUGCUUCAGCCUCCACUUACCACUCAUUCAGUAUCCCUCUGCUUCAGCCUCCACUCACCACUCAUUCAGUAUCCCUCUGCUUCGGCCUCCACUCACCACUCAUUCAGUAUCCCUCUGCUUCAGCCUCCACUCACCACUCAUUCAGUAUCCCUCUGCUUCGGCCUCCACUCACCACUCAUUCAGUAUCCCUCUGCUUCAGCCUCCACUCACCACUCAUUCAGUAUCCCUCUGCUUCAGCCUCCACUCACCACUCAUUCAGUAUCCCUCUACUUCGGCCUCCACUUACCACUCAUUCAGUAUCCCUCUGCUUCAGCCUCCGCUUACAACUCAUUCAGUAUCCCUCUGCUUCAGCCUCCACUCACCACUCAUUCAGUAUCCCUCUGCUUCAGUCUCUUCAGCCUCCACUCACCACUCAUUCAGUAUCCCUCUGCUUCAGUCUCUUCAGCCUCCACUUACCACUCAUUCAGUAUCCCUCUGCUUCAGACUCUUCAGCCUCCACUUACCACUCAUUCAGUAUCCCUCUGCUUCAGACUCUUCAGCCUCCACUCACCACUCAUUCAGUAUCCCUCUGCUUCAGCCUCCACUCACCACUCAUUCAGUAUCCCUCUGUUAGUCAGCAGUCUGAGGGAGAAGGUCUAUCCCGAUCACUGGGGGUUUUGCGGUCUGGCUCACAUGGCGAGCAAUAUGUUGAAAAAACAUUUUUAAAAUAUUUGGUUGAAAUUCUUUAUGUAAUGAUAGUAUUUGUAGGCCACUAUGGGCUGGGAGACCGUUAA